UUAUUUAUUAUUUAUAUUUAUUAUAUAUAUUAUGUAUACAUAUUUAUACACAUAAGUUUUAUACAUAAAAUAAAAAUGUGUGGAUCUCAUAUUAUUUGGUAGGUGGAUAUUUAGAAAUGUUGUGUUCACUGAAUUAUACCGCCUUAUGGAUAUAUGCUUCUUUCCUUCUAUGUCAUGAAUCCCAUUUUACAUGAUAUUAAUAUCCUUGCUUUCAAGAACAUGUGUGUAUAUAUAGUACAUAUAUCAUAGUUACAUAUGAAAUGAAUGUGGCAAAAUGUUAAAAAUUUAGUCUAAAAAAGAAAUAGAAAGUUACUUCCCCCCUUAAAAUUAUAAUAAAAUAAAACGGACAUGUUCAAAAAAUAUCAAACACAGGUGCAUUUCUUCAUUUUUCUCUCUCCAUGUCUGUAUCCCUGUUAUACACACACACACACACACACUCACACAUGCAUGCACAAACAGUUCUUCAGUGUUUGGAGAAGGGAACCUGGUCUAAGGUCCUUGGAUGGACUUCAUGUACUUAAGGAGGAAGUUUCCCUUUGCCUUUUCCAACCCUAGCUCCUCAUUCUUUGCACCAUUUUCCCAUCAGAAAGACCAGACUAAUGAGGCGGAAGCCUGCAGAAGGGGCUUACACUUGCUACGAUAGACUGUGCUUGUACCAUCUCCGGGCAGGUGAGAUUGGAGCUGCUCAAGAUUUCUUUGCCCGAACAUUGGCUUUUUAACUUUACCAUGACUACUUGAUAUUGGAGUAUGUGAAGGCUCAGAAAGCACUUUAUUUGGAAGGGACUUACAGAUCACCUCUGAAAUUUAAUGGCUUUUUGCUGAGAAAGAAAAAAAGAUGGUGUAAGCAAUGGAUGCCUUCCAGAAGUACUGGGUGAGGGGAUUGUUGUGAACUGCUUGGCUCUGUAUUAAGACUUAAUUCUCCCCUCCCUUUGGAAUGAAAUCCUCAAUCUUUAUCAAAUGGCUAAAGCCCAAUCUGUCUAAAAGAGGAGCUGGCUGUGCUGCAAGAAUUCAUGUUUUUAUCCUUCCAAGUCCCAUCUGUGCCCUGGAUGUCACCUGGAGAGUCAGUUUUUGGAAGAACAAGCCAAGGACAAAACAUGGCUUAUUCCCACUUAUUAAAAAUUUGGACGGUGGUGGUCAUGCCCAGAAUAUCUGCCUCACUUUUGUUCAGAAUGCAGAUGAAGAAAGAGACAGAAUCCCCAGGACUUUCAGCCUUUUAAAUGAAUUGAUUUCAUCCAAGCAAACAAUGUGGCAUAAAGGUUAUUAUCUACCAAUCAGGUGGAGGAGCAAGGUGUGGAGUGAGAAGAAAAGAUGCUACCUUCUAGUGGGCAUUCUUCCACAUGCAUAA
rnacentral:lncRNA from 1 species